rnacentral:lncRNA from 1 species
GUCAUUGUGGGGGAGGGGGUGGGCCAGCCAGGGCAGGCAGGGACAGUCCUUCUGAUGAGGAGGCCACUGGGCUGAGACCAAUGAAUGAGACGGAGCCAGCCACGUGGUGAGCCAGAAGAGGGCAUCACAGGUCCAUGAAAUGGGCUCCCUACGUCCAACCCCACAGACCCCAUAGGAAAGAGCAGAUGGAAUCUCCAAGGGCACCAGCUAUACAUGGUGGUGGAAGGACCAACAAGUGCUCUCAAUGCCACUGCAGACAACAGGGCUUGAGUCUGGGGGAGCCUGGCUGCCCAGAGGUGGCAGAUGACAUGAAGAAAUAACCAUGUAAGGGCUGGCUGUGUAUGAGAGCAAGCAUUGGGAAGGAUGAAUGCCAACUAUGUUCCAGGAACUUCUACUGUUCUCACACACCCAGAUGAGUGGUGUUCAGGUGGGUGGCACCCAGGUGAGUGGCACCCAGGUGGAUAGCAUCCAGGUGAGUGACACCUAGGUGAGUGACAUUCAGGUGAGUGGCAUCUGUGUGAGUGGCAUCAUCCAGGUGAGUA